rnacentral:rRNA from 1 species
AGUCAUAUGCUUGUCUCAAAGAUUAAGCCAUGCAUGUCUAAGUUCAAACGAAAAUAAAGUGAAACCGCGAAUGGCUCAUUACAUCAGUUAUGGUUCCUUAGAUUACACAUACUACUUGGAUAACUGUGGUAAUUCUAGAGCUAAUACAUGCACUGAGCUCCAACCCUCGUGGAAGGAGCGCUUUUAUUAGAUCAAAGCCAAUCGGGCCUUCGGGUCCGUACCGUUGGUGACUCUGAAUAACUUUGCUGAUCGCAUGGUCUCGUACCGGCGACGUAUCUUUCAAGUGUCUGCCUUAUCAACUGUCGAUGGUAGGUUAUGCGCCUACCAUGGUUGUAACGGGUAACGGGGAAUCAGGGUUCGAUUCCGGAGAGGGAGCCUGAGAAACGGCUGCCACAUCCAAGGAAGGCAGCAGGCGCGCAAAUUACCCACUCCCGGCACGGGGAGGUAGUGACGAAAAAUAACGAUACGGAACUCAUACGAGGCUCCGUAAUCGGAAUGAGUACACUUUAAAUCCUUUAACGAGGAUCUAUUGGAGGGCAAGUCUGGUGCCAGCAGCCGCGGUAAUUCCAGCUCCAAUAGCGUAUAUUAAAGUUGUUGCGGUUAAAAAGCUCGUAGUUGGAUCUCGGUUUCGGGCGGAUGGUGCACCUUGCGGUGUUUACUUUCUGCUCGGACGAUUUUGUUGGUUCGUUCGUGGUUCUCUUAACCGGGUGCCACGGGUGGCCAGCACGUUUACUUUGAAAAAAUUGGAGUGCUCAAAGCAGGCGCUACAGCCUGAACAUUAGUGCAUGGAAUAAUGGAAUAGGACCUCGGUUCUAUUUCGUUGGCUUUCGGAGUCGAGGUAAUGAUUAAUAGGAACAGACGGGGGCAUUCGUACUGCGACGUUAGAGGUGAAAUUCUUGGAUCGUCGCAAGACGAACUACUGCGAAAGCAUUUGCCAAGAAUGUUUUCAUUAAUCAAGAACGAAAGUUAGAGGUUCGAAGGCGAUCAGAUACCGCCCUAGUUCUAACCAUAAACGAUGCCGAACGGCGAUCCGCCGUCGUUAAUUGAAUGACUCGGCGGGCAGCCUCCGGGAAACCAGAGUGUUUGGGUUCCGGGGGAAGUAUGGUUGCAAAGCUGAAACUUAAAGGAAUUGACGGAAGGGCACCACCAGGAGUGGAGCCUGCGGCUUAAUUUGACUCAACACGGGAAAUCUCACCAGGCCCGGACACCGGAAGGAUUGACAGAUUGAGAGCUCUUUCUUGAUUCGGUGGGUGGUGGUGCAUGGCCGUUCUUAGUUGGUGGAGCGAUUUGUCUGGUUAAUUCCGAUAACGAACGAGACUCUGGCCUACUAACUAGACCCGGAAUCCCUUUGUGGGUCCCGGACUGCUUCUUAGAGGGACGGGCGGCUUUUAGCCGCACGAGAAUGAGCAAUAACAGGUCUGUGAUGCCCUUAGAUGUUCUGGGCUGCACGCGCGCUACACUGAAGGAAUCAGCGUGUGUUUCCUACCCGAAAGGGUUGGGAAACCCGUUGAACCUCCUUCGUGAUGGGGAAUUGGGGAUUGCAAUUAUUCCCCAUGAACGAGGAAUUCCCAGUAGGCGCGAGUCAUAAGCUUGCGUCGAUUACGUCCCUGCCCUUUGUACACACCGCCCGUCGCUACUACCGAUCGAGUGAUUUAGUGAGGCCUUCGGACUGGUCUUCGUGGUGGCUCUCGAGUCAUGACGGAAUUCCGGAAAGAUGUCCAAACUUGAUCACUUAGAGGAAGUAAAAGU